UAGGGAAUCUUCGGCAAUGGACGAAAGUCUGACCGAGCAACGCCGCGUGAGUGAAGAAGGUUUUCGGAUCGUAAAACUCUGUUGUUAGAGAAGAACAAGGACGUUAGUAACUGAACGUCCCCUGACGGUAUCUAACCAGAAAGCCACGGCUAACUACGUGCCAGCAGCCGCGGUAAUACGUAGUUGGCAAGCGUUGUCCGGAUUUAUUGGGCGUAAAGCGAGCGCAGGCGGUUUCUUAAGUCUGAUGUGAAAGCCCCCGGCUCAACCGGGGAGGGUCAUUGGAAACUGGGAGACUUGAGUGCAGAAGAGGAGAGUGGAAUUCCAUGUGUAGCGGUGAAAUGCGUAGAUAUAUGGAGGAACACCAGUGGCGAAGGCGGCUCUCUGGUCUGUAACUGACGCUGAGGCUCGAAAGCGUGGGGAGCAAACAGG
rnacentral:rRNA from 1 species